rnacentral:rRNA from 1 species
GACGAACGCUGGCGGCGUGCCUAAUACAUGCAAGUCGAGCGAAGUUUUUCUGGUGCUUGCACUAGAAAAACUUAGCGGCGAACGGGUGAGUAACACGUAAAGAACCUGCCUCAUAGACUGGGACAACUAUUGGAAACGAUAGCUAAUACCGGAUAACAGUAUUUCUCGCAUGAGAGAUAUUUAAAAGUUGGUUAUGCUAACACUAUGAGAUGGCUUUGCGGUGCAUUAGCUAGUUGGUGGGGUAAAGGCCCACCAAGGCGACGAUGCAUAGCCGACCUGAGAGGGUGAUCGGCCACACUGGGACUGAGACACGGCCCAGACUCCUACGGGUGGCAGCAGUAGGGAAUCUUCCGCAAUGGGCGAAAGCCUGACGGAGCAACGCCGCGUGAGUGAAGAAGGAUUUCGGUUCGUAAAGCUCUGUUGUUAGGGAAGAAUGGAUAUGUAGUAACUAUACAUGUAAGAGACGGUACCUAACCAGAAAGCCACGGCUAACUACGUG